AUACUCUGGUUUCUCUUCAGAUCAUAUAAAUCUUUCGCCUUUUACUAAAGAUUUCCGUGGAUAGGAGAUACUAAAUGAAAAAAAAAAUCAGUUUGUAUCUCUAAUAUUAUUUCAUCACA